GUGCUCUUCUGAUCAGUGAAUAUCCUUUCCCCAUCAUCAAGAAGGCAUGGGAGUUCGGUCUGGUCAACAGUCACAUUCCAGAGGACUGUGGAGGAAUGGGCUUGUCCAUCUUUGAACCCUGCCUCAUCACAG